AGUGAACGCUGGCGGUAGGCCUAACACAUGCAAGUCGAACGGCAGCACAGUAAGAGCUUGCUCUUACGGGUGGCGAGUGGCGGACGGGUGAGGAAUACAUCGGAAUCUACUUUUUCGUGGGGGAUAACGUAGGGAAACUUACGCUAAUACCUCAUACGACCUACGGGUGAAAUCAGGGGAUCUUCGGACCUUGCGCGAUUGAAUGAGCCGAUGUCGGAUUAGCUAGUUGGCGGGGUAAAGGCCCACCAAGGCGACGAUCCGUAGCUGGUCUGAGAGGAUGAGCAGCCACACUGGAACUGAGACACGGUCCAGACUCCUACGGGAGGCAGCAGUGGGGAAUAUUGGACAAUGGGCGCAAGCCUGAUCCAGCCAUACCGCGUGGGUGAAGAAGGCCUUCGGGUUGUAAAGCCCUUUUGUUGGGAAAGAAAAGCAGCAGGUUAAUACCCCGCUGUUCUGACGGUACCCAAAGAAUAAGCACCGGCUAACUUCGUG
rnacentral:rRNA from 1 species